rnacentral:ribozyme from 14 species
AUACAAAGUGAAGAAAAUAGUUCAGGUAGGCUAUUCUAUACCUCAGCUCAUGUUAGUUGCUGCACUAAUUUUUCUUUCUUUAUUUUUUUUGUUUCUUUCUAAUCAUAUGAC